rnacentral:rRNA from 1 species
GAUGAAUGCUGGCGGCGUGCCUAACACAUGCAAGUCGAACGAAGCUGUUUUAACUGGUGCUUGCACCGACUUAAACAACUGAGUGGCGAACGGGUGAGUAACACGUGGGUAACCUGCCCCAAAGCGGGGGAUAACAUUUGGAAACAGAUGCUAAUACCGCAUAAUCACAGAAACCACAUGGUUUCUGUGUCAAAGAUGGUUUCGGCUAUCACUUUGGGAUGGACCCGCGGCGUAUUAGCUAGUUGGUAAGGUAAUGGCUUACCAAGGUAAUGAUACGUAGCCGAACUGAGAGGUUGAUCGGCCACAUUGGGACUGAGACACGGCCCAAACUCCUACGGGAGGCAGCAGUAGGGAAUCUUCCACAAUGGACGAAAGUCUGAUGGAGCAACGCCGCGUGAGUGAAGAAGGUGUUCGGAUCGUAAAACUCUGUUGUCAGAGAAGAACGUGUGCGAGAGUAACUGUUCGUGCAGUGACGGUAUCUGGCCAGAAAGCCACGGCUAACUACGUGCCAGCCGCCGCAGUAA